rnacentral:misc_RNA from 1 species
AUUACACCCCAAAAAACAUAUACAACUCGGGGAGGCUUAUUCUAUAUAUAUAUAGUAUAGGCUUUUCCCACAUACACAGCAAACUUUUAUACUCAAAAUUUGCAGUAAAAAAGGCCGAUCGACGUUGUAGAACGCACCGCCUAUACACAAAAGCAAAAAUGUCCGUUUAUACAAAAAAAUAGACGGCGUUUCGGUUUUUGGCGGGAGGGAGAGAGAGGGGGGUGCGUGCGCGUGGAUAACGGCUCACAUAACGUGUCGCGAUGGAUGACUUGGCUUCCUAUUUCGUUGAAGAACGCAGUA